rnacentral:rRNA from 1 species
AGUGGCGUACGGGUGAGUAACACGUGACUAACCUACCCUCGAGUGGGGAAUAACCUCGGGAAACCGUGGCUAAUACCGCAUAACAUCUACGGAUCAAAUGCGUAAGCAGCUUGAGGAGGGGGUCGCGGCUGAUUAGCUAGUUGGCGGGGUAAUGGCCCACCAAGGCAGUGAUCAGUAGCCGGCCUGAGAGGGCGCACGGCCACACUGGAACUGAAACACGGUCCAGACUCCUACGGGAGGCAGCAGUGGGGAAUUUUGCGCAAUGGGGGAAACCCUGACGCAGCAACGCCGCGUGGAGGAUUAAGCCCCUUGGGGUGUAAACUCCUUUCGAUCGGGACGAUUAUGACGGUACCGGAUGAAGAAGCACCGGCUAACUCAGUGCCAGCAGCCGCGGUAAUACAGAGGGUGCAAGCGUUGUUCGGAAUUAUUGGGCGUAAAGGGUGCGUAGGCGGUGCGGUAAGUCUUCUGUGAAACCUCCGGGCUUAACUCGGAGCCUGCAGGGGA